GACGAACGCUGGCGGCGUGCUUAACACAUGCAAGUCGAACGAAGAGCGAUGGAAGCUUGCUUCUAUCAAUCUUAGUGGCGAACGGGUGAGUAACGCGUAAUCAACCUGCCCUUCAGAGGGGGACAACAGUUGGAAACGACUGCUAAUACCGCAUACGAUCCAAUCUCGGCAUCGAGACUGGAUGAAAGGUGGCCUCUAUUUAUAAGCUAUCACUGAAGGAGGGGAUUGCGUCUGAUUAGCUAGUUGGAGGGGUAACGGCCCACCAAGGCGAUGAUCAGUAGCCGGUCUGAGAGGAUGAACGGCCACAUUGGGACUGAGACACGGCCCAGACUCCUACGGGAGGCAGCAGUGGGGAAUCUUCCGCAAUGGACGAAAGUCUGACGGAGCAACGCCGCGUGAGUGAUGACGGCCUUCGGGUUGUAAAGCUCUGUUAAUCGGGACGAAUGGUUCUUGUGCGAAUAGUGCGAGGAUUUGACGGUACCGGAAUAGAAAGCCACGGCUAACUACGUGC
rnacentral:rRNA from 1 species